AUGCACGCUGGCGGCGUGCCUAAUACAUGCAAGUCGAGCGAACGGACGAGAAGCUUGCUUCUCUGAUGUUAGCGGCGGACGGGUGAGUAACACGUGGAUAACCUACCUAUAAGCCUGGGAUAACUUCGGGAAACCGGAGCUAAUACCGGAUAAUAUUUUGAACCGCAUGGUCCAAAAGUGAAAGACGGUCUUGCUGUCACUUAUAGAUGGAUCCGCGCUGCAUUAGCUAGUUGGUAAGGUAACGGCUUACCAAGGCAACGAUGCAUAGCCGACCUGAGAGGGUGAUCGGCCACACUGGAACUGAGACACGGUCCAGACUCCUACGGGAGGCAGCAGUAGGGAAUCUUCCGCAAUGGGCGAAAGCCUGACGGAGCAACGCCGCGUGAGUGAUGAAGGUCUUCGGAUCGUAAAACUCUGUUAUUAGGGAAGAACAUAUGUGUAAGUAACUGUGCACAUCUUGACGGUACCUAAUCAGAAAGCCACGGCUAACUACGUG
rnacentral:rRNA from 1 species